GACGAACUGUCCUAACGUUGUUCGGAAUCACUGGGCUUAAAGGGCGCGUAGGCGGUCCGACAAGUCAGGGGUGAAAUCCUGCAGCUUAACUGCAGAAGUGCCUUUGAUACUGGUGAGCUUGAGUCCGGAAGAGGUGAGUGGAACUGCGAGUGUAGAGGUGAAAUUCGUAGAUAUUCGGCGGAACACCAGUGGCGAAGGCGACUCACUGGCCCGAUACUGACGCUGAGGCGCGAAAGCGUGGGGAGCAAACAGG
rnacentral:rRNA from 1 species